UACGGAGGGGACUAGCGUUGUUCGGAAUUACUGGGCGUAAAGCGCACGUAGGCGGAUUUGUAAGUCAGGGGUGAAAUCCCGGGGCUCAACCUCGGAACUGCCUUUGAUACUGCAAAUCUCGAGUCCGGAAGAGGUGAGUGGAAUUCCAGGUGUAGCGGUGAAAUGCGUAGAUAUCUGGAGGAACACCGGUGGCGAAGGCGGCAUCCUGGACCGGCAUUGACGCUGAGGCGCGAAAGCCAGGGGAGCAAAGCGGG
rnacentral:rRNA from 1 species